rnacentral:rRNA from 1 species
CCUACGGGGGGCAGCAGUGGGGAAUAUUGCACAAUGGGGGAAACCCUGAUGCAGCGACGCCGCGUGAGUGAAGAAGUACCCCGGUACGUAAAGCUCUGUCGGCAGGGAAGAAGAAUGACGGUACCUGACGAGGAAGCACCGGCUAAAUACGUGCCAGCAGCCGCGGUAAUACGUAUGGUGCAAGCGUUAUCCGGAUUUACUGGGCGUAAAGGGAGCGCAGGCGGUACGGCAAGUCUGAUGUGAAAGCCCGGGGCCCAACCCCGGUACUGCACUGGAAACUGCCGGACUGGAGUGUCGGAGGGGCAGGCGGAAUUCCUGGUGUAGCGGUGAAAUGCGCAGAUAUCAGGAGGAACACCGGUGGCGAAGGCGGCCUGCUGGACGAUGACUGACGCUGAGGCUCGAAAGCGUGGGGAGCAAACAGGAUUAGAUACCCUGGUAG